UAAAAGUUUUAUUUAAGUUUAAAUUUUAGUUUAUUAAUUUAUAUAAAUGUAAGUUUUAAAAUUAACAAUAUUUAAAUAGUUUUGUUAUUAAAAUGCAAUAUAAAGUUUUAAAAAUUAAGAUAUUUUAGAUUUAGAAAUUUAAUUUAAUAUAAACAAAAUUUGUGCCAGCAGUUGCGGUUAUACAAAUUAUAUGAAUUAAAUAUAUUUUAAUUAAUUAAAUGAAUAUAUUUUAUUAAUUUAAUUAAAAAUUUUUUAAGUGAAAUUUAAAUUUUUUAUUAAAUUAAUUUUUAUUUUUUGAUGUUAAGAAAUUUAGUAUUAAACUAGGAUUAGAUACCCUAUUAUUAUAAAUUUAAUAAUAAAUUAAAAAUCAGUAAAAGUUAUAUACUUUAAAGUUAAAGAUUUUGGCGGUAUUUUAGUCUAUUCAGAGGAACUUGUUUUUUAAUUGAUAAUCCACGAUUUAAUUUACUUUAUUUUUAAAUUUAUAUAUCGUUGUAUUAAAAGUAUUUUAAAAGAAUUUAAAUAUUUAAUUAUUAUGAUUAAAAGAGAAUUCAAAUCAAGGUGUAGUUUAUAAUAAAGUUAAAAUGAGUUACAAUGUAAAAAAAAUUAAAUUUAAAUUUUUAAAGUUUAAUGAAAUUGGAUUUGAUAGUAAUUUUAUUAAUUUAAUAAAGUGAUUAUGCUCUAAAAUAUGUACAUAUUGCCCGUCGCUUUCAUUUUAUUUGAAAUAAGUCGUAACAAAGUAGAUUUAUUGGAAAAUGAAUCUUGAUAGAUU
rnacentral:ncRNA from 1 species